rnacentral:rRNA from 1 species
UACGUAGGCAGCAAGCGUUGUUCGGAAUUAUUGGGCGUAAAGGGCUCGUAGGCGGUCCGUCACGUCGGGGAGUGAAAACUCAGGGCUCAACCCUGAGCGUGCUUCCGAUACGGGGCGGACUAGAGGUAUGCAGGGGGAGAACGGAAUUCCUGGUGUAGCGGUGGAAUGCGCAGAUAUCAGGAGGAACACCGAUGGCGAAGGCAGCACUCUGGGACGUGACUGACGCUGAGACGCGAAAGCGUGGGGAGCAA